rnacentral:lncRNA from 1 species
GAAAUUUCUAAACAGCACUGGGAAACAUUGACCAAUGAGCAUGCAGCACAAGACACCCGCAGGCUCCUGGAAGAGAGAGAAGACCCCACAGAGAAGCUGCAGUCAGGAUGGGUGGGAUUCGCGGGUCCUCUUCAAGGUCUUGGGGAUCUUGAGCUCUAUCUAGGACCACCAUGCUGGCCAGGGUUCUGGAAGAAGCAGCAAAGAAUUUGGUUUCUCGGGGUGGUGACAAAGGGAGAGCCACCCAAGGUGCUUCUAGAGAUAAACACACACCCAGAGGUAAUCCUCUGACCUAGACUAAGCCCAGGAACAUAAGACCUCAGAGCUAAUGAGCCACAUACCUACCCAAGGUGAAAGCUCCUUCUCUCGCAAUGUGUAACUCAUGAUUCUCAUGACCCCUGGUUGGAGAGAUCCGGACUAGGAGCCAGGGGGCCUCUGAUUCUGCCAGCCACUGCUAAUAACCUCUCUCCACCCCAGGUCAACCUUCCUGACAAUUUGAGAAGCUCUUUAUCUUAAUCCUACCCUACCUCAACUUCCAUCUAACCUGGAAUUCCUUAUUCCAGCUUACUUUCCAGAUCUAAGUUCUAGCUACAAAUUGAAGGUGUAAAUGGGAUGACCUUUCCUAUCCACGUCAAGAUUCCAUGAGUGUAUAUUUUUAGUUACUUAUUCAGUCAAUAAACUUGUGUGAAGCUGUGCUAUAUGCCAGCAACUCUAGGUACAAAGAUGACAAUUAUGUGGCACUGCCACAGAAAACCUCACUGUCUCAUGCCCUGCAAAGACACACAAGAAGAGAACCUUUGGCGGGGCAAAGGGGGUGGGGGAAACCUCCUAUGAAGGCUGUCCUGAGAGAGAGGUAGAAGAUCAGUAUUCCAGGUCUUCUGAGACCUCAUCUAGCAGCUUCCUGAAGGCAAUAUCAUGAAGUGUUAAACUUGGCUUCAACAUCACACUGCAUGGGCUGGAAUCUGUCAAGUGUCUGGUGGCUGUGGCCAAUGAGGUUGUGAGAAAUGGACCAGUUCACAGCACAUACCUGUCAAGUUGAUAUCACAUCUAGAUAUUUUGUUCUCCUCUUCUGAAAAAAAAAUUCAUAUAAUAGCAAUUAGCACUCUCUUUCCAGGGCUAUGUGUGGGGGUUGAGUGAGGUAAUUCAUGUAAAGCAUGAGAUCUGGAACAUGGUAAAUAUUUAGCACAUACUCGGCGUUUUUGAGAUUAUGAAUAGAAUCUUUAGACUAGAUUUCAUAUAAAAAGACUUCAGAUAUUUCUUUUUAAAAUUAUGUUUCAGAAAAUAAACAUAUGGAGGAAAGAUAACAUAAAAUUGUACAAAAAGGAAGGAGUUCAUUGAAGAAAACAAUCAUUUGCAAAAAGCUUGGCCCCCACCUGGAGACAGGUACAACAGAUAAAGCUCCCCAGAUCAACUGUCUCAGAGGUAUCAAAACUCACCAAUUCUAUAUUUAGGCAUCCUUAUGUUCCUGCUGCCAGAGUUGCCCAUAGAUACAAACAUUUCAGGGCACACAGCAGCAGUUUUCAGAAAGAUUUCCCUUUUAGGAGAGGGAGACGCUACAAAGCUUAAUCGGUUCUAAGUGAUUCUCAAAUAUUGUAUCAAUUUACAGCAGAAAGGUCACUGUGAAUAAACAUGAGGAUUCUGUUCAGUGUCUGGGAUUUAGCAGACUAACUCCCACUAAUGUUCAUGGGGCCAUGCUGCCAAAUCCCCAACCAUCACCCUGCAUAUUUGCUCCAAUCCCUAACUUUUGAGAUUGAAAUGUCUUUUCCAAAUCAAAGCUGAUCCUGAAACAGGCCCAAUGAGCCUCUGUAUGGUUAGACAGGGACAGUGUGGCUGAAGCCUGGGGACAUGGCAGUGCUCAAAGAAAUGGUAUUAAGAGGGUUUGUUGGAGCCAGGCAUGGUGGUGCAUGCCGGUAGUCCCAGCUACCUUAGAAGCUGAAGUGGGAGAUCGCUUGAGCGAUCUUGAGGUUUUGAGGUUGCAGUGAGCCACAGUCAUGCUACUGCACUCCAGCCUGGACAACACAGCAAGAUACUGUCGAAAAAAAAAAAAGUCUUUGUUGAAAGACAUGUCUUCACAUUGUCUACCCAAUUCAGCUCAGCUUCCUUUGCCUGAUGUGCAACACAGUCCAUUCCCCAAACUCACCUCCCAUGACUUCUCCCUGUGAGCUCCAGACAAAACAAGAUUCCCCAGUUCUCAGCCAGAGGCGAAUGUUUAUGUUUUUUCCUACCCACUUCUCUCUUCUUUGGGGGAACCCACCUCAAUACUACCUUGUUGGUGAAGUUUUUUGAUACCAACCUGGGAUCAUCAUUGUUUCCAAACACUGCAGAUUCUGAGCUCCAUGAGAUAAGCUCACAUCUCUCCAGCCUCCCUCAUGGGCCCAGGAGUAUUGGCUCGGCUCCUUCUAGAACAGCUCACAUUUUUUGGACAGCUUCUCCAACCUACUCCACCCACAUCUAUCUGCUCUGAAUCUAACCUAGGACUCCAUGUCUCAGUCAGGUUCAAGAUGAAGUGGCUCCUGCUGCAGACCCUGAUCAACACCCAGACUUUUCAUAUUCAGAAAAUCAAAACCAGGUCACAGCUUCCAGGAGUCUAUCCAGCUUCUGCUGAUCUGCUCAGAGGACUGACUGGCCCACAACAUCUGCUCCCAGGUCAGACCAGGGUGUCCACAAGGCAAGGUCCAGGAUACCCAGCCGCUGUCCACCACAAUGUGAUGGGAUGACACAGGAAGAGGAAAUUUGGACACACAAAGUGACACCACGGCUACAGAUGCAUAAAGGAAAAACCAUGUGAAGACAUCUUGAGAAGACGAUCACCUGCAAGCCAAUGAGAGAGGCCUCAGAAGAAACGAAACUUGUCAGCACCUUGAUUUUGGACUUCCAACCUCCAGAGCAGUGAGAAAAUAAAUUUCUGUUGUUUAAGCCAGCCAAUCUGUGGUAUUCUGUUAUGGCACCAGCUUUAGCGAACUAAUACACGUAAUAAAAUGUAAAGAAAACAAAACCAAUGUAAAUAACAUUUUCUAAGUUCCAUCUAAAUAAAGUUUUCCAGCCUUCCAAGAUGAAUGCUUACACCACUUUUUUAGAAACCCGCUGUCUUGAGUUUAGAUCUUUUGAUUUCUU